rnacentral:rRNA from 1 species
AGCUUCAGUAGCGUAUAUUAAAGUUGUUGCAGUUAAAAAGCUCGUAGUCGCAUUUCUGGCGAGAGGAUCCGGUCCGACCUUUUGGUGGGUUCUUGGGUCUCUUUCGCCAUCCUUGAGUGGUCCGUUCUGGCAUUAGGUUGUCGGAGCGUCAGCCGCUCAUCGUUUACUGUGAGAAAAUUAGAGUGUUCAAAGCAGGCUUAUGCCGUUGAAUAUAUUAGCAUGGAAUAAUAAGAUAGGACCGCGGUACUAUUUUGUUGGUUUGCGCACCAAGGUAAUGAUGAACAGGGACAGUUGGGGGUAUUUGUAUUUCGUUGUCAGAGGUGAAAUUCUUAGAUUUACGAAAGACAAACUACUGCGAAAGCAUUUACCAAGGAUGUUUGCA